rnacentral:rRNA from 1 species
CGGCCCCUAGUGGCGAACGGUCGCGUAACACGUGGGCAACCUGCCCUAAAGUGGGGGACAACGGGGGGAAACUUCCGCUAAUACCGCAUGUGGUUCAGAAAGGCAUCUUUCAAGAACUAAAGGAGCAAUCCGCUUUAGGAUGGGCCCGCGGCCUAUCAGCUAGUUGGUGAGGUAACGGCCCACCAAGGCUACGACGGGUAGCUGGUCUGAGAGGAUGGCCAGCCACAUUGGGACUGAGACACGGCCCAA